rnacentral:tRNA from 1 species
GCUACAGCUUAGUGGUAGAGCACAUGUUUAAGAUGCACAAGGUCCUGGGUUCAAUCCCCAGUAGC